rnacentral:lncRNA from 1 species
CAAACUUUGACCUAUCAUCGAUACAGCUUGCCGUUUUAUCCAAGUUACAACGUCAGAGGAGAACAUCAGGGUUUUCAUUAAAUGUUUUAGCGAAAAAAAAAACAACACACAGUGUAUCUCACAGAAUAUCUAAGAUUCACUCAAAGAUACAAAAGAUUUAUAUAGUCAGAUAUUUCAUAUUCACUCCGUGAGGGAAAAGAUAGGAAUACCCCCUUUGCCAUAAGUGAUCCAGAGCAGAAGAAGAUGACUGUUUGAUGAUAAUAACAUUCAGCUCAAGUCAAGUGUCUUGAGCCA